GCAACUCUGACUUUGAAGUUUUCAUGGACGUAAUAUUACAUUAUUCAGGUGUUAUACUUGCCCAUAAUAAUAUCUAUCCGAGCACGGCCGUACGGUCGCGUGUAACCAAUACACGGCGUGCGGUUUAUCGACCAGAACAGAACGUUAUGCCGCUGCAGUAUACCGAUACCCUCUACGCGCUUUUAAAUCCCGUCGCAGCCCGAAGGUCGGGGUCAAUUACCGUGCAUCCGGUUUUAGGGUUUUAAAAAGAAAAUCGUACGCGUUCGG